rnacentral:rRNA from 1 species
GGAAUCUUCCACAAUGGACGAAAGUCUGAUGGAGCAACGCCGCGUGAGUGAAGAAGGGUUUCGGCUCGUAAAACUCUGUUGUUAAAGAAGAACAUAUCUGAGAGUAACUGUUCAGGUAUUGACGGUAUUUAACCAGAAAGCCACGGCUAACUACGUGCAG